CCGAGCCAAAGCAGCAGUGUGUUGUCCCCCACAGCCUUGUAACGCCAGACAGAAGUCCCUUCUCCCUCCCUCUCUCCCCGUCCCCUUCUUCUUCCUGUUCUUCUCCUCCUCCUCCUCCUGCUCCUCCUUCUCCUCUUUGGUUUUAUGAGACUGGGUCUCCUUGUGUAUUCAAGACUGGCCUUCAACUUGCAGCAAUCUUCCUGCCUCAGUCUCCCAAAUGUUGGGGAUACGGGCAUGUGCCACUACACCCAGUUUAAAUCUCUUCAUUAUUCUUCCAAGCUCACUCCAAAAGUUGACAGCUUUGCCCUUGCUGCUAAGCCUCCACCUCACUCCGUGGAAAACACAGCAGCGUCUUUGGCCGCUGUCCAGCCUGAGGCCCCACUGCCCACCAGCGUGGUGGUCUAUGUCCUUUGUCUGUGAAAUGGGUGAAUUGAGGUUAUCAGUCUCAGGGUCCUGGUGCAGGGGUGAGUGAAUCCACCAUGCACCCCACACGGGGUUGACACUCCGUAAAUGCCAGUGUCCAUGCCAGCCUCUCCUGCCCUGCCCACUGUCCUGUCUGGUCACCUCUUCCUGUCCCUCCCCCUCAACGCCCUACCUGACUACUCUACACGCUUGGGGGUAGCUCAUGCCCUCAGCUGCGGAAGAAUCAGGACAGGAAGUGACACCCUAAGCCUCUCCCCACCACGGCCUCAGUCCGGGCCCUGCCCCGCUCCCUGCCUCGUCCACCCAACCCGGUCUGUCCAGGGCUGGCUCAUGGCCUCCCUGGUCAGGGCCUCUUCCCCGUCCCUCUGUUCUAGGGCAUCCCCUCCCUGGCUGCCUGGCUGCGUCCCCACGACCGUCCUGUUGUGGAGUCUGUUGCGUCUGGCAUUUCUCAAUCUGAGUUUCCACAAGCACUCCGGGCCAGCACCGGGCUGCUUGCCGGCCACCAGAUGA
rnacentral:lncRNA from 1 species